GGGAAGAGCUCAAAUUUAUAAUCUGGCACCUUCGGUGUCCGAGUUGUAAUCUCUAGAAAUGUUUUCCGCGUUGGACCGCACCCAAGUCUGUUGGAAUACAGCGGCAUAGUGGUGAGACCCCCGUAUAUGGUGCGGACGCCCAGCCCUUUGUGAUACAUUUUCGAAGAGUCGAGUUGUUUGGGAAUGCAGCUCAAAUUGGGUGGUAAAUUCCAUCUAAAGCUAAAUAUUGGCGAGAGGCCGAUAGCGAACAAGUACCGUGAGGGAAAGAUGAAAAGCACUUUGGAAAGAGAGUUAACAGUACGUGAAAUUGUUGGAAGGGAAACGCUUGAAGUCAGACUUGCUUUCCGAGCAAUCGGUUUGCAGGCCAGCAUCAGUUUUCCGGGAUGGAUAAUGGUAGAGAGAAGGU
rnacentral:rRNA from 1 species